GGGGUCGACUGGUUUUGACAGCAGGUUCCCAUGACGGAGUAAGCAGGUCGAGCACUGAGACAAAGCUCGUAAAUCUUAUGUUUCACACUUUAAAUGGCGAGAAUAACUACGCUCUAGCUGCAUAAUUGACUGAAUUAUAGUAAGUCAUGCCAUGUCCUGACUAGGUCAGGAAGCCGGAUGUCUCCCGAUAGCCCUUGUUGACGGCGAUCGAUAUUGAGGCACCAUAAAUGUCAACAUCGAAAUGCUUCAGCAUCGGUAGUAUUUUUCAAUAAAGAUGAUAAGGGUUUCUAGGGCAGUUUUCGGUCACUGACACCUCGAAAAACAAACGAUAACUAAACCUGUAGAAAGCUUGGUUAUGACUUGUUUGGACGCGGGUUCGAUUCCCGCCGACUCCACUA
rnacentral:tmRNA from 1 species